CUCAGCCUUUUUAAAUUGGCUUAAUAUUUCAAAUUGGCAACAUUAUAACAAAAAACAUCUGAAGCAAUAAAAACAAAACAGUUCUUGUGAAAAAAUAGUGGUUUGUGCAUUUUGCGUAUUCUGCAUACACGUUUUACAUACAUCCAAAAAUAAACGGCAUUUAAAAUCAGACGCUAUAAAAAUUCGUUUAUUUAGUUCAAAGUUAUCAAAGAAAAAUAUAGAUCGUGUCAAAAUUCUUAUUCAUCACACAGGAAAUCAACAUAUAAAAGAUCUAAUUCAAGUCGAGAAUAAAACAUUUUCUUAUAGUUCACAGUAUGAGCUUCCUGAAACGGUAAAGAAAAUUAAAAGGGAUAAAAGUCCCGAAUUGUAAAUCCAAAUCAACCUCCGAAAAAUAUAAAACAAAUUUUGUGCGACAUGAUCAAGCCAAGUAUUAUAAGGUUCCUUGGAAUUCAGUUGUUCUUGAAAGGGUAAUACUAUUAUAACAACUUCGGCGACAGCAACAAAUAUAGUAGCUGAUAUAUCUGGGUUCCUUAGAAUUCAUCUGUGCUUGGGAGGGAAGGAAGUACCAAUUCGAAUUAACCACUCUGAUUCCAAAUCAAAAUAAAUUUAGAAUAUCAACAACUAUGCAACAGCAACAAAUACGUUCCAACGACCAUCGGUUCUUCGCACCGGAACGACUUGGAGUUCAACGAAAACGACUAAGGAUUGUCAACUCAACCACAGACUUUAUACUUAUCGCUGCUUCAACAACAUCAACAUUAAAGUGACUGAAAUAUCUGGGUGAGU